rnacentral:rRNA from 1 species
UGCAGUCGAACGGCAGCACGGGUGCUUGCACCUGGUGGCGAGUGGCGAACGGGUGAGUAAUACAUCGGAACAUGUCCUGUAGUGGGGGAUAGCCCGGCGAAAGCCGGAUUAAUACCGCAUACGAUCUACGGAUGAAAGCGGGGGACCUUCGGGCCUCGCGCUAUAGGGUUGGCCGAUGGCUGAUUAGCUAGUUGGUGGGGUAAAGGCCUACCAAGGCGACGAUCAGUAGCUGGUCUGAGAGGACGACCAGCCACACUGGGACUGAGACACGGCCCAGACUCCUACGGGAGGCAGCAGUGGGGAAUUUUGGACAAUGGGCGAAAGCCUGAUCCAGCAAUGCCGCGUGUGUGAAGAAGGCCUUCGGGUUGUAAAGCACUUUUGUCCGGAAAGAAAUCCUUGGCUCUAAUACAGUCGGGGGAUGACGGUACCGGAAGAAUAAGCACCGGCUAACUACGUGCCAGCA